UGGAGAAUGUUAGGGGAAGUC
rnacentral:siRNA from 1 species